GCUGUGACUUACAUUACAGGGUGUCCACCGAUAGCGUUCUGAUUAGGAAUCCGCUGCAGAACGAAAGAUGGAUUAGUAAAUUGCAAAGGAUUAAUAACCAGUUUAAGGAUGAGCUGGAUUAUAAAGACUAUACUAUCCAACAACUUAAACAGGAUAAUGCAACUGUGAUAGAAGAGUUAAGAAAAGAACUGGCUGACAAAGAUGACUUUAUAAAGGAAUUAAAACAACGCAUUAACCACAGUAGCCCUCAGUGUUUAGCUCUAUAGACACAGGAAAAACCUUUACUUGAGAGAAAGGACACAAGUAGAAGGAACAUCUGCACUAAAUGAGCAAGGUAAGUGAUUAUAUUU
rnacentral:lncRNA from 1 species